AUCAUUUUGUAGUCCAUAGGGUGGUGAUUGGGUGUUUAUGCUGUUGUGUAAGAUAUGCCUCCCGCAAACCUUUUUAUGACACUGUCACAUUACCCAUCUGACA
ensembl:snoRNA